GACCCGUAAUCCGGGUUGCGGACAGUGUCUGGUGGGUAGUUUGACUGGGGCGGUCUCCUCCUAAAGAGUAACGGAGGAGCACGAAGGUUGGCUAAUCCUGGUCGGACAUCAGGAGGUUAGUGCAAUGGCAUAAGCCAGCUUGACUGCGAGCGUGACGGCGCGAGCAGGUGCGAAAGCAGGUCAUAGUGAUCCGGUGGUUCUGAAUGGAAGGGCCAUCGCUCAACGGAUAAAAGGUACUCCGGGGAUAACAGGCUGAUACCGCCCAAGAGUUCAUAUCGACGGCGGUGUUUGGCACCUCGAUGUCGGCUCAUCACAUCCUGGGGCUGAAGUAGGUCCCAAGGGUAUGGCUGUUCGCCAUUUAAAGUGGUACGCGAGCUGGGUUUAGAACGUCGUGAGACAGUUCGGUCCCUAUCUGCCGUGGGCGCUGGAGAACUGAGGGGGGCUGCUCCUAGUACGAGAGGACCGGAGUGGACGCAUCACUGGUGUUCGGGUUGUCAUGCCAAUGGCACUGCCCGGUAGCUAAAUGCGGAAGAGAUAAGUGCUGAAAGCAUCUAAGCACGAAACUUGCCCCGA
rnacentral:rRNA from 10 species